rnacentral:rRNA from 1 species
CCUACGGGAGGCAGCAGUGAGGAAUAUUGGACAAUGGGCGCAAGCCUGAUCCAGCCAUGCCGCGUGCAGGAAGAAGCAUCUAUGGUGUGUAAACUGCUUUUGUACAGGAAGAAACACUCCCUCGUGAGGGAGCUUGACGGUACUGUAAGAAUAAGGACCGGCUAACUCCGUGCCAGCAGCCGCGGUAAUACGGAGGGUCCGAGCGUUAUCCGGAAUCAUUGGGUUUAAAGGGUCCGUAGGCGGUUUAAUAAGUCAGUGGUGAAAUCUGGUCGCUCAACGAUCAAACGGCCAUUGAUACUGUUAGACUUGAAUUAUAAGGAAGUAACUAGAAUAUGUAGUGUAGCGGUGAAAUGCUUAGAUAUUACAUGGAAUACCAAUUGCGAAGGCAGGUUACUACUUAUGGAUUGACGCUGAUGGACGAAAGCGUGGGGAGCGAACAGGAUUAGAUACCCUGGUAGUCCACGCCGUAAACGAUGGAUACUAGCUGUUCGGAGCAAUCUGAGUGGCUAAGCGAAAGUGAUAAGUAUCCCACCUGGGGAGUACGUUCGCAAGAAUGAGACUCAAAGGAAUUGACGGCGNGAGAGAGACGACGGACGACGACGAGGGGAGGAGG